rnacentral:lncRNA from 1 species
CGGAUGCUGAUCAAAUUUUUUCUGAUCGCACAGGCGAUCUUUGGAAACUUCAGUGAUACCUGACGACUGGCGAAGGGCCAAAGUAAUACCUGUGCACAAAUCUGGCUCUAAACUCGACAGUUCAUCACUUGUGCAUGUGCAAGACAUUGGCGGAGGCAAUACGAACUGCAUUUCUCACUAGCUGGACAAGUCGGAAUGGCAAUGCACCUUGGAGAACAAGACUCGAAUUGUGAAAGCCUGGUGGUAAGUCUGAAUUAAUAUAUUUUCAUUUAUAUUUGGUGUUAACUUUCCAGCGCACUUUCUAUCCUAUUGAAGAAACAUUUAGCCCCGUUUGGCCUGUUUUUUGAGGGCCUUACAUCAGGCCCCCUAGCAAGUUUUAGUUUACACUGCAAUUUAAAGCUUCUUGAGACCCGAAUACAGCCAUGGGACAUAAUUACUUUUCAAGCUGGUUAUUAUUGCCUCCAGGCAUGUUACGAACAUGAAAGAUGUUUUUUUAAUAACAUACUUUUAAAUAACUGGCAUCUUCUUUAAAUGUCACAGUCAUACGUAGACAGGCUAAGAGCUGCAUCUCCAACAAGUGAACAUCUCAUGUUCGCUAUGGUAAAAACUGUAUUUCAUUGCCUGAACACAGAGGUGAAGAUGGAGUUAUGUGUAGUAGACUGUUACUUGGCUGCUGCAUCCUGGAUUUUCAUGCAUUAAUGAGGAAUUCAAAACAGACUUCAAGGUUGCUUCCUGCUGUUUGUGACAAUGCAGAGGUCUAGAUCAAUUUAGUGUGAAAUUUCUUGAAAGUAGAUGAGAAGAAUAUGAGUGAACCACUUUCGACAGUUCCACAUGCAUUGGACUUCAUAUCCAUGAUGAAUGUUUGGAGUAAUGACUUCAGACUUCUGGCAUUGCUUUACCGAAAUAAUCUUUUAAACUGGUUUAG